rnacentral:tRNA from 3 species
UUCGGUGCUGGGCGAGGAGUACGGCGGCGAGGCCACGUUCAUUGGCCGGCAGUGGGUCAUCGAUCCCAUCGACGGCACCAAGA